GAUGAACGCUGGCGGCGUGCCUAAUACAUGCAAGUCGAGCGAACGGACGAGAAGCUUGCUUUUCUGAUGUUAGCGGCGGACGGGUGAGUAACACGUGGAUAACCUACCUAUAAGACUGGGAUAACUUCGGGAAACCGGAGCUAAUACCGGAUAAUAUUUUGAACCGCAUGGUUCAAAAGUGAAAGACGGUCUUGCUGUCACUUAUAGAUGGAUCCGCGCUGCAUUAGCUAGUUGGUAAGGUAACGGCUUACCAAGGCAACGAUGCAUAGCCGACCUGAGAGGGUGAUCGGCCACACUGGAACUGAGACACGGUCCAGACUCCUACGGGAGGCAGCAGUAGGGAAUCUUCCGCAAUGGGCGAAAGCCUGACGGAGCAACGCCGCGUGAGUGAUGAAGGUCUUCGGAUCGUAAAACUCUGUUAUUAGGGAAGAACAUAUGUGUAAGUAACUGUGCACAUCUUGACGGUACCUAAUCAGAAAGCCACGGCUAACUACGUGCCAGCAGCCGCGGUAAUACGUAGGUGGCAAGCGUUAUCCGGAAUUAUUGGGCGUAAAGCGCGCGUAGCGGUUUUUUAAGUCUGAUGUGAAAGCCCACGGCUCAACCGUGGAGGGUCAUUGGAAACUGGAAAACUUGAGUGCAGAAGAGGAAAGUGGAAUUCCAUGUGUAGCGGUGAAAUGCGCAGAGAUAUGGAGGAACACCAGUGGCGAAGGCGACUUUCUGGUCUGUAACUGACGCUGAUGUGCGAAAGCGUGGGGAUCAAACAGGAUUAGAUACCCUGGUAGUCCACGCCGUAAACGAUGAGUGCUAAGUGUUAGGGGGUUUCCGCCCCUUAGUGCUGCAGCUAACGCAUUAAGCACUCCGCCUGGGGAGUACGACCGCAAGGUUGAAACUCAAAGGAAUUGACGGGGACCCGCACAAGCGGUGGAGCAUGUGGUUUAAUUCGAAGCAACGCGAAGAACCUUACCAAAUCUUGACAUCCUUUGACAACUCUAGAGAUAGAGCCUUCCCCUUCGGGGGACAAAGUGACAGGUGGUGCAUGGUUGUCGUCAGCUCGUGUCGUGAGAUGUUGGGUUAAGUCCCGCAACGAGCGCAACCCUUAAGCUUAGUUGCCAUCAUUAAGUUGGGCACUCUAAGUUGACUGCCGGUGGCAAACCGGAGGAAGGUGGGGAUGACGUCAAAUCAUCAUGCCCCUUAUGAUUUGGGCUACACACGUGCUACAAUGGACAAUACAAAGGGCAGCGAAACCGCGAGGUCAAGCAAAUCCCAUAAAGUUGUUCUCAGUUCGGAUUGUAGUCUGCAACUCGACUACAUGAAGCUGGAAUCGCUAGUAAUCGUAGAUCAGCAUGCUACGGUGAAUACGUUCCCGGGUCU
rnacentral:rRNA from 1 species